rnacentral:rRNA from 1 species
AGAGUUUGAUCCUGGCUCAGAUUGAACGCUGGCGGUAUGCUUAACACAUGCAAGUCGAACGGUAACAUAACUAGCUUGCUAGUUGAUGACGAGUGGCGGACGGGUGAGUAACGCGUAGGAAUUUACCUUUCGGUGGGGGAUAGCCCGGUGAAAACCGGAUUAAUACCGCAUAAGCCCUACGGGGGAAACGAGGCCACUUCUUGAAAGCUUCGACCGAUAGAUGAGCCUGCGUUAGAUUAGCUAGUUGGUAGGGUAAUGGCCUACCAAGGCGACGAUCUAUAGCUGGUCUGAGAGGAUGAUCAGCCACACUGGGACUGAGACACGGCCCAGACUCCUACGGGAGGCAGCAGUGGGGAAUAUUGGACAAUGGGCGCAAGCCUGAUCCAGCAAUACCGCGUGUGUGAAGAAGGCUUUAGGGUUGUAAAGCACUUUCAAUUGUGAAGAAAAGCCUGAGGUUAAUAACCUCGGGUCUUGACGUUAACUUCAGAAUAAGCACCGGCUAACUCCGUGCCAGCAGCCGCGGUAAUACGGAGGGCGCAAGCGUUACUCGGAAUCACUGGGCGUAAAGAGCGUGUAGGCGGGUUAAUAAGUUUGAAGUGAAAUCCUAUGGCUCAACCAUAGAACUGCUUUGAAAACUGUUAGCCUAGAAUAUGGGAGAGGUAGAUGGAAUUUCUGGUGUAGGGGUAAAAUCCGUAGAGAUCAGAAGGAAUACCGAUUGCGAAGGCGAUCUACUGGAACAUUAUUGACGCUGAGACGCGAAAGCGUGGGGAGCAAACAGGAUUAGAUACCCUGGUAGUCCACGCCCUAAACGAUGCACACUAGUUGUUGCUAUGCUAGACAUAGCAGUAAUGCAGUUAACACAUUAAGUGUGCCGCCUGGGGAGUACGGUCGCAAGAUUAAAACUCAAAGGAAUAGACGGGGACCCGCACAAGCGGUGGAGCAUGUGGUUUAAUUCGACAUAACGCGAAGAACCUUACCUGGACUUGACAUAGUCGGAAUUUUGCAGAGAUGCAUUAGUGCCUUCGGGAACCGAGUGACAGGUGCUGCAUGGCUGUCGUCAGCUCGUGUCGUGAGAUGUUGGGUUAAGUCCCGUAACGAGCGCAACCCUUGUCUUUAGUUGCCAGCGCGUAAUGGCGGGAACUCUAAAGAGACUGCCGGUGAUAAACCGGAGGAAGGCGGGGACGACGUCAAGUCAUCAUGGCCCUUACGGCCAGGGCUACACACGUGCUACAAUGGGGUAUACAAAGAGCCGCGAUACCGUGAGGUGGAGCAAAUCUCAUAAAAUAUCUCCCAGUUCGGAUUGAAGUCUGCAACUCGACUUCAUGAAGUUGGAAUCGCUAGUAAUCGUAGAUCAGCAAUGCUACGGUGAAUACGUUCCCGGGUCUUGUACUCACCGCCCGUCAUACCAUGGGAGUGGGUUGCACCAGAAGUAGCUAGUCUAACUGUUUACAGGGGACGGUUACCACGGUGUGAUUCAUGACUGGGGUAAAGUCGUAACAAGGUAACC